GAUGAACGCUAGCUACAGGCUUAACACAUGCAAGUCGAGGGGCAGCAUGACCUAGCAAUAGGUUGAUGGCGACCGGCGCACGGGUGAGUAACACGUAUCCAACCUGCCGAUUAUUCCGGGAUAGCCUUUCGAAAGAAAGAUUAAUACUGGAUAGCAUAACGAGAAGGCAUCUUCUUGUUAUUAAAGAAUUUCGAUAAUCGAUGGGGAUGCGUUCCAUUAGUUUGUUGGCGGGGUAACGGCCCACCAAGACAUCGAUGGAUAGGGGUUCUGAGAGGAAGGUCCCCCACAUUGGAACUGCGACACGGUCCAAACUCCUACGGGAGGCAGCAGUGAGGAAUAUUGGUCAAUGGACGAGAGUCUGAACCAGCCAAGUAGCGUGAAGGAUGACUGCCCUAUGGGUUGUAAACUUCUUUUAUAGGGGAAUAAAGUGGGCCACGUGUGGCUUUUUGUAUGUACCAUACGAAUAAGGAUCGGCUAACUCCGUG
rnacentral:rRNA from 1 species